GCUCCCUAAUCACUGCGAGAGAGGGACUAAGAGAUGAAGAGUAGAACCCGGGAAGGACAGCGGAGUCGACAUCAAAAAUGAGCAGCCUGACAAAGACGGGAAGAAGGACUGAGAAAAUCGGAGACAACGGACAAGAAGAAACAGGGGGAAGAUUGAAAAGAUUGGCAGGAGAGUAUAGACCCGGAAGAUGACAUCACCGGCAGUGACAAGCAGUACCCUCCCAUGUCACCAUCUGGCCCGGAGCGGAGGGAGGGCACAGCAGUAUCCCUCACGACCCAGGAUCGUCCACACGGCGGCGGGCACACACAGGCCCUGCCACCCACCCAUGCCUUCUGCUGCCAGGUACAGCAACAGUACAUCCAUCUGCUUGCAGUCACUGUGGGGC